UACGGAGGGUGCGAGCGUUGUUCGGAAUCACUGGGCGUAAAGCGCGUGUAGGCGGCCCAUUAAGUCUGAUGUGAAAGCCCGGGGCUCACCCCCGGAAGUGCAUUGGAAACUGAUGGACUCGAGUCCCGGAGAGGAGAGUGGAAUUCCUGGUGUAGCGGUGAAAUGCGUAGAUAUCUGGAGGAACACCGGUGGCGAAGGCGACGUCCUGGACCGGUAUUGACGCUGAGGCGCGAAAGCCAGGGGAGCAAACGGG
rnacentral:rRNA from 1 species